rnacentral:rRNA from 1 species
UGAAGAAGCUUGCUUCUUCUGAAGUUUUAGCGGCGGACGGGUGAGUAACACGUGGGCAACCUACCUUGUAGAUUGGGAUAACUCCGGGAAACCGGGGCUAAUACCGAAUAAUCCAUUUUGCUUCAUGGCGAGAUGUUGAAAGACGGUUUCGGCUGUCACUAUAAGAUGGGCCCGCGGCGCAUUAGCUAGGUUGGUAGGGUAAUGGCCUACCAAGGCGACGAUGCGUAGCCGACCUGAGAGGGUGAUCGGCCACACUGGGACUGAGACACGGCCCAGACUCCCACGGGAGGCAGCAGUAGGGAAUCUUCCACAAUGGACGAAAGUCUGAUGGAGCAACGCCGCGUGAGUGAAGAAGGUUUUCGGAUCGUAAAACUCUGUUGUAAGGGAAGAACACGUACGAGAGUAACUGCUCGUACCUUGACGGUACCUUAUUAGAAAGCCACGGCUAACUACGUG